CAAUUUAUAGCUUAAUUAAAGCAUCUUGCUUACACCAAGAAAAUACUCAUUAAACUUGAGUUAAAUUGA
rnacentral:tRNA from 1 species